GACAGAGGGUGCAAACGUUGUUCGGAAUUACUGGGCGUAAAGCGCGUGUAGGCUGUCCAACAAGUCGGGUGUGAAAGCCCCGGGCUCAACCUGGGAAGUGCACUCGAAACUGUCGGACUCGAGUCCUGGAGAGGAAGGCGGAAUUCUCGGUGUAGAGGUGAAAUUCGUAGAUAUCGAGAGGAACACCGGUGGCGAAGGCGGCCUUCUGGACAGUGACUGACGCUGAGACGCGAAAGCGUGGGGAGCAAACAGG
rnacentral:rRNA from 1 species